rnacentral:rRNA from 1 species
AACGAACGCUGGCGGCAGGCUUAACACAUGCAAGUCGAGCGCCCCGCAAGGGGAGCGGCAGACGGGUGAGUAACGCGUGGGAACGUACCCUUAUCUUCGGGAUAGCCCCGGGAAACUGGAAUUAAUACCGAAUGUGCCCUUUGGGGGAAAGAUUUAUCGGAUAAGGAUCGGCCCGCGUUGGAUUAGCUAGUUGGUGGGGUAAAGGCCUACCAAGGCGACGAUCCAUAGCUGGUCUGAGAGGAUGAUCAGCCACAUUGGGACUGAGACACGGCCCAAACUCCUACGGGAGGCAGCAGUGGGGAAUAUUGGACAAUGGGCGCAAGCCUGAUCCAGCCAUGCCGCGUGAGUGAUGAAGGCCUUAGGGUUGUAAAGCUCUUUCACCGGAGAAGAUAAUGACGGUAUCCGGAGAAGAAGCCCCGGCUAACUUCGUG